GAAUAUUGGACCAUGGGCGAAAGCCUGAUCCAGCCAUGCCGCGUUGUUGACGAAGGUCUUCGGCUUGUAAAGCACAUUAAAUUGUGUAGAAGGGCAGUAUGCGAAUAUCUUGAUGUUUUGACGUUAUCGAAUGUAUAAGUAUCGUCUAACUCUGUGUAAGCAGCCUCGGUAAUACAGAGGGUGCACACGUUAAUCGGAAUUACUGGGCUUAAAGCGCGCGGAGGUGGUGCGUUAAGUGGGAUGUGAAAUCCCCGGGCUCAACCUGGGAACUGCAUCCAAAACUGGCGAGCUAGAGUAGGGCAGAGGGUGGUGGAAUUUCCUGUGUAGCGGUGAAAUGCGUAGAUAUAGGAAGGAACACCAGUGGCGAAGGCGACCACCUGGGCUCAUACUGACACUGAGGUGCGAAAGCGUGGGGAGCAAACA
rnacentral:rRNA from 1 species